UUGAACGCUGGCGGCAGGCCUAACACAUGCAAGUCGAGCGGUAGCACAGAGAGCUUGCUCUCGGGUGACGAGCGGCGGACGGGUGAGUAAUGUCUGGGAAACUGCCUGAUGGAGGGGGAUAACUACUGGAAACGGUAGCUAAUACCGCAUAACGUCGCAAGACCAAAGUGGGGGACCUUCGGGCCUCAUGCCAUCAGAUGUGCCCAGAUGGGAUUAGCUAGUAGGUGGGGUAACGGCUCACCUAGGCGACGAUCCCUAGCUGGUCUGAGAGGAUGACCAGCCACACUGGAACUGAGACACGGUCCAGACUCCUACGGGAGGCAGCAGUGGGGAAUAUUGCACAAUGGGCGCAAGCCUGAUGCAGCCAUGCCGCGUGUGUGAAGAAGGCCUUCGGGUUGUAAAGCACUUUCAGCGGGGAGGAAGGCGGUGAGGUUAAUAACCUCAUCGAUUGACGUUACCCGCAGAAGAAGCACCGGCUAACUCCGUGCCAGCAGCCGCGGUAAUACGGAGGGUGCAAGCGUUAAUCGGAAUUACUGGGCGUAAAGCGCACGCAGGCGGUCUGUCAAGUCAGAUGUGAAAUCCCCGGGCUCAACCUGGGAACUGCAUUCGAAACUGGCAGGCUAGAGUCUUGUAGAGGGGGGUAGAAUUCCAGGUGUAGCGGUGAAAUGCGUAGAGAUCUGGAGGAAUACCGGUGGCGAAGGCGGCCCCCUGGACAAAGACUGACGCUCAGGUGCGAAAGCGUGGGGAGCAAACAGGAUUAGAUACCCUGGUAGUCCACGCCGUAAACGAUGUCGAUUUGGAGGUUGUGCCCUUGAGGCGUGGCUUCCGGAGCUAACGCGUUAAAUCGACCGCCUGGGGAGUACGGCCGCAAGGUUAAAACUCAAAUGAAUUGACGGGGGCCCGCACAAGCGGUGGAGCAUGUGGUUUAAUUCGAUGCAACGCGAAGAACCUUACCUGGUCUUGACAUCCACAGAACUUUCCAGAGAUGGAUUGGUGCCUUCGGGAACUGUGAGACAGGUGCUGCAUGGCUGUCGUCAGCUCGUGUUGUGAAAUGUUGGGUUAAGUCCCGCAACGAGCGCAACCCUUAUCCUUUGUUGCCAGCGGUUAGGCCGGGAACUCAAAGGAGACUGCCAGUGAUAAACUGGAGGAAGGUGGGGAUGACGUCAAGUCAUCAUGGCCCUUACGACCAGGGCUACACACGUGCUACAAUGGCAUAUACAAAGAGAAGCGACCUCGCGAGAGCAAGCGGACCUCAUAAAGUAUGUCGUAGUCCGGAUUGGAGUCUGCAACUCGACUCCAUGAAGUCGGAAUCGCUAGUAAUCGUAGAUCAGAAUGCUACGGUGAAUACGUUCCCGGGCCUUGUACACACCGCCCGUCACACCAUGGGAGUGGGUUGCAAAAGAAGUAGGUAGCUUAACCUUCGGGAGGGCGCUUACCACUUUGUGAUUCAUGACUGGGGUG
rnacentral:rRNA from 1 species